UACGUAGGGUCCAAGCGUUAUCCGGAAUCACUGGGCGUAAAGCGUGCGUAGGCGGCGUGUUAAGUGUGAUGUUAAAUCGUGUGGCUCAACCAUAUCGAUGCAUCACAUACUGGCAUGCUAGAGGAAGGCAGAGGCAAGUGGAAUUUGUAGUGUAGCAGUGAAAUGCGUAGAUAUUACAAGGAACACCAAUGGCGAAGGCAGCUUGCUGGGCCUUUCUGACGCUGAGGUACGAAAGCGUGGGGAGCGAACAGG
rnacentral:rRNA from 1 species